GACGAACGCUGGCGGCGUGCUUAACACAUGCAAGUCGAACGGUGAACGAGGGAGCUUGCUCCCUCCGGAUCAGUGGCGAACGGGAGAGUAACACGUGAGCAAUCUGCCCCGAACUCUGGGAUAAGCGUUGGAAACGACGUCUAAUACCGGAUACGACGCGGGAGGGCAUCCUCUCCGCGUGGAAAGAACUUCGGUUCGGGAUGAGCUCGCGGCCUAUCAGCUUGUUGGUGAGGUAACGGCUCACCAAGGCGACGACGGGUAGCCGGCCUGAGAGGGUGACCGGCCACACUGGGACUGAGACACGGCCCAGACUCCUACGGGAGGCAGCAGUGGGGAAUAUUGCACAAUGGGCGCAAGCCUGAUGCAGCAACGCCGCGUGAGGGACGACGGCCUUCGGGUUGUAAACCUCUUUUAGCAGGGAAGAAGCGAAAGUGACGGUACCUGCAGAAAAAGCACCGGCUAACUACGUG
rnacentral:rRNA from 1 species